rnacentral:rRNA from 1 species
AACGAACGCUGGCGGCAGGCCUAACACAUGCAAGUCGAGCGAACCUUCGGGUUAGCGGCGGACGGGUGAGUAACGCGUGGGAAUAUGCCCUUUGGUACGGAAUAGCCUCGGGAAACUGAGAGUAAUACCGUAUGUGCCCUUCGGGGGAAAGAUUUAUCGCCAAAGGAUUAGCCCGCGUUGGAUUAGGUAGUUGGUGGGGUAAUGGCCUACCAAGCCGACGAUCCAUAGCUGGUUUGAGAGGAUGAUCAGCCACACUGGGACUGAGACACGGCCCAGACUCCUACGGGAGGCAGCAGUGGGGAAUCUUAGACAAUGGGGGCAACCCUGAUCUAGCCAUGCCGCGUGAGUGAUGAAGGCCUUAGGGUUGUAAAGCUCUUUCAGCUGGGAAGAUAAUGACGGUACCAGCAGAAGAAGCCCCGGCUAACUCCGUGCCAGCAGCCGCAGUAA